CUGUAUCAGCACCAGUGUGGCCAGCAGGGUCAUGACAGGGAUUGUCUCCCUGUAGUCAGCACUGGUUAGGCCACACCUUGAGUCUUGUGUUUGGCUCUGGGCCCCUCACUACACAAAAGACAUUGAGACAUAAACAUGUCCAGAGAAGGUCAAUAGAGCUGGGGAAGGGUCUAGAGAGUAAGCCACAGGAGGAAUGGCUGAGGGAGCUGGGGUUACUUGGCCUGGAGAAAAGGAGUCUUAGGAGAUACCUUAUUGGUCUCCACAGCUGCCUGAUAGGAGGCUAGUGAGGUAAAAAUUGGCCUCUUCCCCGAGGCAGCUAAUGAUUAAACAGAGAAAAUAGCCUCAAGCAGCUCUAGAUGAGCUUCAGGUUUGAACUGGGAAGAAUUUCUUCACUGAAAGGAGCUGAAGUUUCUGAGGUCUUAGUCUCCUGACAAUCACAAAGAUGAGAUGUAGCCAUAAGUGCAAUCUUGUGCUGCCAGAAUUCAUGACACGAGCCGGCUGCAUCAAAGGAAGAGUUUCUUUAGAGUCCUUGCUCUUGGAAAUUUCCAGGUUCACUCAGCCAUCCAGCACUGAUGAAUCUCAGCCUCACUGAGCAACUGAGAAUACAGCUAAGCCUAUACUGAAAUGCAAUGAUCCUGGCAACAAAAAGACUUGCUUCCAGUGAAUCACUAGCAGAUAUUCAGUGAUAUUCUACAUAUCUAUAAUUGGAAAUUGUCUUGCAAUUGGAAUGAUAGUGUUGAAGGACAACAUGAAGGCUCCUGUAUGACUAAGUUACUUUGAAAUCAGCGUCUCAGAUGAGGCUGGAGGACCAGGGCUCUUGUGUCCAGCUGGGACUCCGAACUGCAUGAAUUUGAAGAUGGACUUCAGCAGUGAAUCUGAGAAAUACUUAGUAAGGGCUUUUGAAGCCUUUAAAAUGGGUUGGUUUUUUUUUCCUUUAAUUGAAAGUACUUGUUACUUUGUGGGUUUCUGUCUACAGGGACAAUACAACAGUUUUAAAAACAAUAUAGUACACUUCCAACUCUCCUAGAACUUGUUGUAACCCCAAAAUUAAUCUUUAUGACAUGGUAAUCCCAUGCCCAAAAGGAUCUAAUUUAGAUUAAAAAACAUAUUUUUUUUAUCCUGCACUCCACCAAUUACAGAUCUGGCACAUUAUGUGUUGCAUAUACACAUAUAACAGCCCGGUCAUUAUGAGCUUCUUUAAUAGGUUGGUAACACCUCUUUGUCAGGGACAUAAUCCAUUCUUAUGGCACAAUGACUCCAACAAGCUUCUGAUGGGAAUUCAUUUCCCUGUGUAGCAGCUGAAGAAUUAUUUUCUUCUUUCAGUUGCCAUCACUCCUCUUUGCUGCAUAUAAUAAAGCUGUAGGGCUUCUGCAUUAUCAGCAGAGCACCUUUACCUGCCCUCAGCUAUCCUUAGAAGAGUGAUACUCAUGAUCCUUUCAGGGUAGACACAAUAGACACUGGAGCACAGCUGCCACAUAUAGCAGGUGUGCUCUGAGCUCACCUCAUGUUAAAGGAAUGGUUUGGGAAUCGAAUGAAAUGCCAUUGUAGUUUUCCCAAAACACAGUGACUGGCACUGCUGAGGGUAUUUUGCAAUAGUUUCACAGUUAAAGCUCUUACUCAGAAAUGAUCUGAUAGAAGCAUCCUGUCCCACCCUCCAGACAUGUAUGAAGUGGUGCUAGGGAAAUGAUCCCCUUAUGUCUUUAUUUAUGAACCCAGGCCACUGGAGUGAGAUAAAUUGUGCCACUAUAAGGAAAAGUUAAAAAUCACAAUGCUGGUAAAAACAAGUAAGGAGGAAGGAAUGUGGUUGCACGACAAAUUAUGUUUCAAUUCCUGAAGUUGUUUCUUAUCUCUUUAUGAAUGAUAUAAUUAAAAUGCAGGUGCUAGGUGAGCAUUAUCAGACUUUGAGUUUUGUCUUUCUAGGAAAAUACCUGUUGACUGAGUUAAAAAACUGUGUUAUUUUUGGCCUCAUUCCUUUUUCUACAGGUGAACCUCUGGUACCAAGAGUUUGCCAUGCACCAGAAGAAGAAAGGAUUCUGGAAAGGUAAAACUCCUAAUAUCAGUGCUGAAGGACAGACUUGCCACUCUGACUAGUGAAGACAGACUUGAUAACAAGCACUGAAGGAGGACUUUGUUGUGAAGGGGGAAGGUUUGGAGAGAGGAUUACGAAUACAAGGAAAUUCUUCUGUCUCUUCUGAUGAAGCUGUAACCUUUUUCUAAAGCAC